rnacentral:rRNA from 1 species
GACGAACGCUGGCGGCGUGCUUAACACAUGCAAGUCGAACGGAAAGGCCCUGCUUUUGUGGGGUGCUCGAGUGGCGAACGGGUGAGUAACACGUGAGUAACCUGCCCUUGACUUUGGGAUAACUUCAGGAAACUGGGGCUAAUACCGGAUAGGAGCUCCUGCUGCAUGGUGGGGGUUGGAAAGUUUCGGCGGUUGGGGAUGGACUCGCGGCUUAUCAGCUUGUUGGUGGGGUAGUGGCUUACCAAGGCUUUGACGAGUAGCCGGCCUGAGAGGGUGACCGGCCACAUUGGGACUGGGAUACGGCCCAGACUCCUACGGGAGGCAGCAGUGGGGAAUAUUGCACGAUGGGCGGAAGCCUGAUGCAGCAACGCCGCGUGCGGGAUGACGGCCUUCGGGUUGUAAACCGCUUUCGCCUGUGACGAAGCGUGAGUGACGGUAAUGGGUAAAGAAGCACCGGCUAACUACGUG